AGUGGGGUCCAUGAAUGUGUGAUGCUAACAAUUUCCAAGAAGUGCCUCUGUCUAUGCCGGCCGCUUCCAAGUAACUGCAGAAUGUCACAGAAAACACGUCUAUGAUCCUGUGUGUACUCAACACCGACAAUCCAGAAUGGGGAAAUGGCUCAGAUUCCAGCACGACGUGCUUGAUUCUCAAUGCAAAAUACAAAAUCUUGGUGUUCAAUGUCCGCCAUCUGGCCUGGAAAAGCCAGAUAUACAAAUACCUCUUGUACAACGGGAUAAGUGAAAAAAGAGUCUGGCCACAGACUGGUUGAAUAAGCUGCAAAUAAAUGAUAACAUUUGAGCACUAGCUAAAAAGAGCAGUGAGAGGAC
rnacentral:lncRNA from 1 species